GAUGAACGCUGGCGGCGUGCUUAACACAUGCAAGUCGAACGGGAAUUCUUUUAUUGAACCUUCGGUCGAUUUAAUUUAAUUCUAGUGGCGGACGGGUGAGUAACGCGUGGGUAACCUGCCUUAUACAGGGGGAUAACAGUCAGAAAUGGCUGCUAAUACCGCAUAAGCGCACAGAGCUGCAUGGCUCAGUGUGAAAAACUCCGGUGGUAUAAGAUGGACCCGCGUUGGAUUAGCUGGUUGGUGGGGUAACGGCCCACCAAGGCGACGAUCCAUAGCCGGCCUGAGAGGGUGAACGGCCACAUUGGGACUGAGACACGGCCCAGACUCCUACGGGAGGCAGCAGUGGGGAAUAUUGCACAAUGGGGGAAACCCUGAUGCAGCGACGCCGCGUGAAGGAAGAAGUAUCUCGGUAUGUAAACUUCUAUCAGCAGGGAAGAUAGUGACGGUACCUGACUAAGAAACCCCGGCUAACUACGU
rnacentral:rRNA from 1 species